rnacentral:ncRNA from 1 species
UUUUUAAUUUAAUUAUAAAAAAAAAUUGUUUUAUUAGAAAAAAAAAAUUAAAUUAGAAAAAAUAUAAAUAAAUUUUAUUUAAAAGGUUAAUUAAUUUUAUUUUAUUAAAUUAUAUAUAUAUAUAUAUAUAUAUAUAUAUAUAUAUAAUCUUUUAUAUAUAAAUUUUUGUAAGAAAAAAAAUUUAAAUAAUUUUUAGUUUUAAUAAUUAAUUUUAAUUAAAUUAAGUAAUUUUAUAAUUAGAAUAUUUUAGAAGUAAUAAUAAAUAUUGUGCCAGCAAUUGCGGUUAUACAAUAAUUAUAAAUUAAUCUUAUAAAUUUAAUUAAUUUAUUAAUUAAAAUUAAAUAAAUUAAGAAAUUUUUGGUGAAAUAUAAUUUUUUAUAAAAUUUAAUUUUUAGAUUUAAUGAAAAUUUUUUAAUUAAAAUAAUAAACUAGAAUUAGAUACUCUAUUAUAUUAAUUAUAAAUAGGAAAAAUUAAGGUAUUAAUUGAUUAAAUCACUAAACUUAAAAAAUUUGGCGGUAUUUUAUUCUAUUUAGAGGAAUUUGUUCUGUAAUUGAUAUUACACGAUUGGAAGAACUUAAUAAAAAAGAUUUAUGUAUUGCUGUAAAAAAAAAAUUAAAAAAAUUUUUUUUAUUUAAAAUAAUUUCAAGUCAAAAUGUAGUUUAUUAAGAAGAAAUGAAUUACAAUAAUUAUUAAAAUUAAAUGAAUUAAUUAAUUUAAUUUAAUUAUGAAGGUGGAUUUAAAGGUAAAUUAAUUAAAAUAAUUUAAUUGAUUUAAGUUUUAAAAUAUGUACAUAUUGCCCGUCAUUUUCAUUUAAAAUGAAACAAGUCGUAACAAAGUAAAUAUACUGGAAAGUAUAUUUAGAAUUUUGAAUAAAAAUAUA